CGGCCUUCGGGUUGUAAACCUCUUUCAGUAGGGAAGAAGCGAAAGUGACGGUACCUGCAGAAGAAGCGCCGGCUAACUACGUGCCAGCAGCCGCGGUAAUACGUAGGGCGCAAGUGUUAUCCGGAAUUAUUGGGCGUAAAGAGCUCGUAGGCGGUUUGUCGCGUCUGCCGUGAAAGUCCGGGGCUCAACUCCGGAUCUGCGGUGGGUACGGGCAGGCUAGAGUGAUGUAGGGGAGACUGGAAUUCCUGGUGUAGCGGUGAAAUGCGCAGAUAUCAGGAGGAACACCGAUGGCGAAGGCAGGUCUCUGGGCAUUAACUGACGCUGAGGAGCGAAAGCAUGGGGAGCGAACAGGAUUAGAUACCCUGGUAGUCCAUGCCGUAAACGUUGGGCACUAGGUGUGGGGGACAUUCCACGUUUUCCGCGCCGUAGCUAACGCAUUAAGUGCCCCGCCUGGGGAGUACGGCCGCAAGGCUAAAACUCAAAGGAAUUGACGGGGGCCCGCACAAGCGGCGGAGCAUGCGGAUUAAUUCGAUGCAACGCGAAGAACCUUACCAAGGCUUGACAUGGACCGGACCGCCGCAGAGAUGUGGUUUCUCCUUUUGGGGCCGGUUCACAGGUGGUGCAUGGUUGUCGUCAGCUCGUGUCGUGAGAUGUUGGGUUAAGUCCCGCAACGAGCGCAACCCUCGUUCCAUGUUGCCAGCGCGUAA
rnacentral:rRNA from 1 species